rnacentral:rRNA from 1 species
UACGUAGGGUGCAAGCGUUAAUCGGAAUUACUGGGCGUAAAGCGUGCGCAGGCGGCUUUGCAAGACAGAUGUGAAAUCCCCGGGCUUAACCUGGGAACUGCAUUUGUGACUGCAUGGCUGGAGUGCGGCAGAGAGGGAUGGAAUUCCGCGUGUAGCAGUGAAAUGCGUAGAUAUGCGGAGGAACACCGAUGGCGAAGGCAAUCCCCUGGGCCUGCACUGACGCUCCUGCACGAAAGCGUGGGGAGCAAACAGG